rnacentral:ncRNA from 1 species
GUAACUUAAGUGUAUUUAACUCGUAUAUUCUCAGUAAUAUGGUCUGAGCGUUUCUACCUGGUUCCCGUCAAAGAACCGGACUACGUAGUUAAAGUCUAUGUUAA